AUGUCCACACCCUAGAACAGCAUAUGAUCAGUGUCCUCUCCACAAUCACUGAGUACACAGAUCCUCACCAUGGGAUGGAGCUGGAUCAUCCUCUUCCUCCUGUCAGUAACUACAGGUGUCCACUCCCAGGUCCAGCUGCAGCAGUCUGGUCCUGAGCUGAGGAAACCUGGGGACACAGUGAAGUUGUCCUGCAAGGCUUCAGGCUACACUUUCACUAGCCACUAUAUGCACUGGGUGAAGCAGAGUCCUGGACAGGGCCUGGAGUGGAUUGGAGGUAUUUAUCCUGGAAAUGGCGAUACUGGCUACAAUCAGAAGUAUAAGGGCAAGGCCACACUGACUGCAGACAAAUCCUCCAGCACAGCCUACAUGGAGCUCCGCAGCCUGACAUCUGAGGACUCUGCGGUCUAUUACUGUGCAAGAGACACAGUGUUCCAACCCACAUCCUGAGUGUGUCAGAAACCCUGGGGUAUCAGGAAGCUGCCCUGGGGCUGAGAUAACAGAAGAUUAGCCUGGAAACUAGCUCAAAAAUAAUCAUUCUUAGUGUUCCUUUGUCUGUCAUUUCACAAUCUUAUAGGGUCUUUGUCAACUUUUCAAAAGGACUGUUAGGAAUAAAAUGAUGCUGAUUUAGGAGGCUGUUAGAGUACACUGUAGGCAGAACUUUCUUGGUCCUGCCUGGCCCUGUGGUCCAGACUAAUCUUUCCCAUCCUUAGUCCCACAGCUGCUUAUAAAAUAAUCACUUAGCAGCUUUAUAUUAAUUACAAACUGUAUGGCCU